GCCUUAGCGAGGCCAUGGGGGAAAAAGUCUAACUGGCGGAACUCCUGGGAACUGGGGCGAUGGGCUCUUAGUAUCGGAGGAUUGGAGCCAUCUGAUUUUUACCUGAAAUUCCUUAGUCUCUCCUGUGUUGGGGAAAUGGUCACCUUGCCUUCAGGGACCUGGGCUUUCAGCUGUCCAUACCUGGCCCUGGUUGAUGGCGGCAUGCUGGGCAGUGCACGUGAAGACGCACAUGAGACCGGGACUUGCUGUGUUGCCCAGGCUGGUCUUGAACUCCUGGUCUUAAGCAAUCAUACUGCUUUGGCCACCCAAAGCACUGGGAUUACAGGCGUGAACCACCACACCCAGCUCUUAAAACCACAGUAUUUCUAGCCCCGCAGCAGUUCCCGAGACCUUGUGCCUCCUUCCCCGACGCCGCCUGCUCACCGGUGCCCUCGGGCAGGCUCAGGAUGUCCUCGCCCUGCACCCAGCGGUAGCACGGGAAGGCCACCUCCGCGCAGGCUCCAGGGCCCUGCACCGUGAUGCGGUCGCAGAACCACGCGUCGUCCACCAGCCAGUGGUGCUUGCGCAGCCUCACGAACUGCAGGAGCCCCAAGUCCUCUGCAACGUCAUGAUCAAACUCCUCCUCCUGUGCAGGCCGGACCCAGGCCAGACUUAGUAGGAGGGACCCGACUGAGGCCGUUUCGAGGACAGAGCCGCGCUCCUGUGCAACCUCAGUUUCUCAGGGCCUCCAAAGACAGCAUCGCCUCGUUCCCGCCCCCGCACAACCUGCUCUUUGGGUCUCAGACGCCCGGAGUCGGGUGGAGGACGAGGGCCCGCAGCGCCUGGAGCUGAUGCUGGAGCAGCAUCGCCCACGUGGGUCCCAUUAACUGAGCUCUCCCCGCGCCGGUUCUUGGAGGAGCUUCACGUCUGACCUCUGGCCUCAUACUUACAUUGGCUCUGGGUCACUGGGAGAAGGAGCUGGGGGCUGCCGGGACCAGGGGCGGGAAAGGGAGAUGGGGUUGAGCCCAGCCCGGGAUCCCAGCUGCGGACCCUGUCCCUAAUCUUGCCCACCUCGUCCCAGCUUCGUGGAAGUCCCAGUCCGCGAGGUCGCGCUGUCACCUCGCCCCCAGCCUCCCGCCCUCCCGCCGCGAGCCCAGCUCGGCCCGGGCCUGGGCCCGGGGUCCCCGCUGCCCUAGCUCCCCUCGCUCCCCGCGCUGACCU
rnacentral:lncRNA from 1 species